CACGUAGGGCGCGAGCGUUGUCCGGAAUUAUUGGGCGUAAAGCGCACGUAGGCGGCUUUUUAAGUCAGAGGUGAAAUCCUGGAGCUCAACUCCAGAACUGCCUUUGAUACUGAGAGGCUUGAGUCCGGGAGAGGUGAGUGGAACUGCGAGUGUAGAGGUGAAAUGCGUAGAUAUCGGGAGGAACACCUGUGGCGAAAGCGGCGCACUGGACCACAACUGACGCUGAGGCGCGAAAGCUAGGGGAGCAAACAGG
rnacentral:rRNA from 1 species